rnacentral:rRNA from 1 species
ACGCUCGACACCUACGGGAGACAGCAGUCGGGAAUAUUGCGCAAUGGAGGAAACUCUGACGCAGUGACGCCGCGUAUAGGAAGAAGGUCUUCGGAUUGUAAACUAUUGUCGUUAGGGAAGAAAAAGGACAGUACCUAAGGAGGAAGCUCCGGCUAACUACGUGCCAGCAGCCGAGGUAAUCUGAGCGGGCUGGCAAGGC